UCGUUCUAUCUUUCUCUCCUA
rnacentral:snRNA from 1 species